GACGAACCGAGCGAACGUUGUUCGGAAUCACUGGGCUUAAAGGGCGCGUAGGCGGGUUCUCAAGUCCGGGGUGAAAUCCCACAGCUCAACUGUGGAACCUGCCUCGGAUACUGGGGGCCUCGAGGGUGGUAGGGGUAUGCGGAACUAUCGGUGGAGCGGUGAAAUGCGCAGAUAUCGGGAGGAACACCAAUGGCGAAGGCAGCUCGCUGGGACGGUACUGACGCUGAGGCGGCGAAAGCGUGGGGAGCGAACAGG
rnacentral:rRNA from 1 species